UACAGAGGGGGCAAGCGUUGUCCGGAUUUAUUGGGCGUAAAGAGCGUGUAGGCGGCUUUGCAAGUCCGUUGUGAAAACUCGAGGCUCAACCUCGAGACGCCGGUGGAAACUGCAAAGCUAGAGUCCGGAAGAGGAGAGUGGAAUUCCUGGUGUAGCGGUGAAAUGCGCAGAUAUCAGGAAGAACACCCGUGGCGAAGGCGGCUCUCUGGGACGGUACUGACGCUGAGACGCGAAAGCGUGGGGAGCGAACAGG
rnacentral:rRNA from 1 species